rnacentral:rRNA from 1 species
GUGCCAGCCGCCGCGGUAAUACGGAGGGUGCAAGCGUUAUCCGGAUUUACUGGGUUUAAAGGGUGCGUAGGUGGAUAAUUAAGUCAGUGGUGAAAUCUUCAGGCUUAACCUGGAAACUGCCAUUGAUACUAUUUAUCUUGAAUACUUUGGAGGUAAGCGGAAUAUGUCAUGUAGCGGUGAAAUGCUUAGAUAUGACAUAGAACACCAAUUGCGAAGGCAGCUUACUACACAGUAAUUGACACUGAGGCACGAAAGCGUGGGGAUCAAACAGGAUUAGAAACCCGCGUAGUCC